UUGAGAAAUAUCAAACGCCAUGCGGCUGCAAUCAAGAGUGGACUGCAGUUGAGCAAGCAGAAUGUUGGCGCAUUAUCGUGGAUUACUGGAUAUUUUGAAAUAAGCUUCGCUUUCAUUAGUUAACGGCAGUGAUUAAUCAUCCAAUAACCUAAUAGAAAAAAAAAAGCAACAUGACAGACGAGAGCAUACAAUUGGAAAAUGUGGAAUUCGUACAAGCUUGCCCCAUACAGUACAGAUGCAGACGUUGCAGUAGUUUAGAUUCUUCUCUUAACAGAGCGCGUUGUGGUCACGGUUUUUGUGGGAGAUGUGUGAAUUUAGUGCGGGCAGCUCGGUUCCAGUGUCCAGUAGAUUCCAGAUCCGUAGAGAAGAAAGAGAUAUAGAAAAAAUGUGUG